rnacentral:rRNA from 1 species
GAGUUUGAUCCUGGCUCAGGACGAACGCUGGCGGCGCGCCUAACACAUGCAAGUCGAACGGAGCUUAGAGAGCUUGCUUUUUAAGCUUAGUGGCGAACGGGUGAGUAACGCGUGGGUAACCUGCCUUAUACAGGGGGAUAACAGUCAGAAAUGGCUGCUAAUACCGCAUAAGCGCACAGAGCUGCAUGGCUCAGUGUGAAAAACUCCGGUGGUAUAAGAUGGACCCGCGUUGGAUUAGCUAGUUGGUGGGGUAACGGCCCACCAGGGCGACGAUCCAUAGCCGGCCUGAGAGGGUGAACGGCCACAUUGGGACUGAGACACGGCCCAGACUCCUACGGGAGGCAGCAGUGGGGAAUAUUGCACAAUGGGGGAAACCCUGAUGCAGCGACGCCGCGUGAAGGAAGAAGUAUCUCGGUAUGUAAACUUCUAUCAGCAGGGAAGAUAGUGACGGUACCUGACUAAGAAGCCCCGGCUAACUACGUGCCAGCCGCCGCGGUAAUAC